CCGAGAUUAAGCCGAUCGGUGACACGGGCUAUAGCGGCGAUGGCGCUAUCGGGAGCUUCCGAUACAUGACGCGCGAACCCCGGCAGCCCUGCGAUUUCCGGUGUUAGAUCGUGGGUGGCCACGGCCUGCCAAGCCGCAUAAGCCAUGCGGCGCAGCCCAGAGUGCUUGGCCCUUAUCGAAGUAUCCCUCCGCCCAGGCACCAAACCGCUCACCAAUCAGGCCGGGCCAAUUGACGCCGGAGACCUCAGCCGCGAAACUCGCGAUCGUCGGGAGUGCCACGGGCUUUGGCGAGUCCGAAGUUGCGGCAGCCUUCAG
rnacentral:misc_RNA from 1 species